rnacentral:rRNA from 1 species
UACGUAGGGUGCAAGCGUUGUCCGGAAUUAUUGGGCGUAAAGAGCUGGUAGGCGGCCGUACAGGUCAGCUGUGAAAACUCGAGGCUCAACCUCGAGACGUCGGUUGAAACCGUACGGCUAGAGUCCGGAAGAGGAGAGUGGAAUUCCUGGUGUAGCGGUGAAAUGCGCAGAUAUCAGGAAGAACACCCGUGGCGAAGGCGGCUCUCUGGGACGGUACUGACACUGAGGAGCGAAAGCGUGGGUAGCAAACAGG